GAAAUGCGAUAAGUAAUGUGAAUUGCAGAAUUCAGUGAAUCAUCGAAUCUUUGAACGCACAUUGCGCCCGCCAGCAUUCUGGCGGGCAUGCCUGUUCUCGCUUUCCCGACCUCAACUCAGGUGUGAUUACCCGCUGAACUUAA
rnacentral:misc_RNA from 1 species